UACGGAGGGUGCAAGCGUUAUCCGGAUUCACUGGGUUUAAAGGGUGCGUAGGUGGGCAGGUAAGUCAGUGGUGAAAUCUCCGAGCUUAACUCGGAAACUGCCGUUGAUACUAUUUGUCUUGAAUAUUGUGGAGGUAAGCGGAAUAUGUCAUGUAGCGGUGAAAUGCUUAGAUAUGACAUAGAACACCAAUUGCGAAGGCAGCUUACUACACAACGAUUGACGCUGAGGCACGACAGCGUGGGGAUCAAACAGG
rnacentral:rRNA from 1 species